rnacentral:tRNA from 4 species
GCCCCCGUAGCCCAACUGGCAGAGGCAGCCGACUUAAAAUCGGCACAGUGCGGGUUCAAAUCCCGCCGGGGGCA